rnacentral:rRNA from 1 species
CCCUUAGAUGUCCUGGGCCGCACGCGCGUUACACUGAUGCAUUCAACGAGCUUAUAACCUUGGCCGAGAGGCCUGGGCAAUCUUGUUAACGUGCAUCGUGAUAGGGAUAGAUUAUUGAAAUUAUUAAUCUUGAACGAGGAAUUCCUAGUAAACGCAGAUCAUCAAUCUGCAUUGAUUACGUCCCUGCCCUUUGUACACACCGCCCGUCGCACCUACCGAUUGGAUGGUCCGGUGAAGCCUCGGGAUUGUCGUUCUUGCCGCUUUAUUGUGGCGUGACCGCGAGAACUUGUCUAAACCUUAUCAUCUAGAGGAAGGUGAAGUCGUAACA